rnacentral:rRNA from 1 species
UGGGGAAUAUUGCACAAUGGGCGAAAGCCUGAUGCAGCAACGCCGCGUGAGGGAAGACGGUUUUCGGAUUGUAAACCUCUGUUUUCGGUGACGAACAAAUGACGGUAACCGAGUAGGAAGCCACGGCUAACUACGUGCCAGCAGCCGCGGUAAUACGUAGGGGGCAAGCGUUAUCCGGAUUUACUGGGUGUAAAGGGAGCGUAGACGGCAAGACAAGUCUGAAGUGAAAUGCGGGGGCUCAACCCCUGAACUGCUUUGGAAACUGUGUAGCUAGAGUGCAGGAGAGGUAAGUGGAAUUCCUAGUGUAGCGGUGAAAUGCGUAGAUAUUAGGAGGAACACCAGUGGCGAAGGCGGCUUACUGGACUGUAACUGACGUUGAGGCUCGAAAGCGUGGGGAGCAAACAGGAUUAGAUACCCUGGUAGU